rnacentral:misc_RNA from 1 species
GAAAUGCGAUAAGUAAUGUGAAUUGCAGAAUUAAGUGAAUCAUCGAAUAUUUGAACGCACCUUGCGCUCCUUGGUAUUCCUUGGAGCAUGCCUGUUUGAGUAUCAUGAAAUCUUCAAAGUAAAUCUUUUGUUAACUCAAUUGGUUUCUACUUUGGUAUUGGAGGUCUUUGCAGCUUCACACCUGCUCCUCUUUGUUCAUUAGCUGGAUCUCAGUGUUAUGCUUGGUUCCACUCGGCGUGAUAAGUUAUCUAUCGCUGAGGACACUGUAAAAGGUGGCCAAGGUAAAUGCAGAUGAACCGCUUCUAAUAGUCCAUUGACUUGGACAAUACUUUUAUGAUCUGAUCUCAAAUCAGGUAGGACUACCCGCUGAACUUAAGC